UAAGCAUUAAAAAGAUGAACGAUGAAAACCAGAAAAAGCCAAAAUAAAUUAGUUUACAUAUUUUUCCUUCCUGAACUCGAUUAAGACUUCUCAGAGGGAACCUGCACAUUGCUUGUGAAGGUUCUUUCCUCACUCGCCGGCCCGAGACCUCGCCCCUUCCUACCCUGCAUCGACUGCAGCUGGUCUGCGGCAAAACUGAGCUGAGAAAUAUGAAUUCUCAAGUUCGGAAAAUAAACAGAAAACAAAACAAACUCUGAAAUGGCUUAAGCAGACUAGCCUAUCCUUUGAUGGAUGAUGAAAACCCCUAACGUCAAAGCACACAGCUGAGCCCACGGCCUGCCUAACGCUCAGGUGGGUAAUCAGAUGCCUCUGGUUUAUAAAUACCUGAUUGUAAUGAAAUAAUCCUCCCCAAUCAUUGCAAAUAAAGUGACGUAAAUUCUAUUAUUUGUCAGAUACAUAAAGAAAGCAAUGUGAGAGCUCCC
rnacentral:lncRNA from 1 species